rnacentral:snoRNA from 1 species
UUGCCCGGAUUAUAAUGAUGAGAUAUCUUCACCCUCAAAUUUCUUAUAGGAAGAGCCGGAAAAGGUAUGGCUAGUAUCGACAAAUGCCGGCCGUCGCUGCUUAUAAAACGGGUCUCUGAGAUACUUGCUUCU